rnacentral:ncRNA from 2 species
ACGCGCGCUCCGGGGUCGGUGAAAAUCCGAACCGGCGGUUACAGUCCGCGACCCGGUCGACGCCCCGCAUCACGUGGAGCGACGGCCGGCUGAACCGGUGGAAUUCCGGUACCGACGGUCAAAGUCCGGAUGGGAGGUGGCGCGC